rnacentral:pre_miRNA from 1 species
AAUGAACAAAUUAGUCCAUGUGCUUUGUUAAAAACUGGCAAGGUUGAUAGAAUAAUCAGAUGGUGAUACGUGACAUGCCACAUGUACCCCAUGUUAAUGUACAAGGAUCAACUUUUAACAACAAAAAUGAAUGAAUUUUUUUUUU